UCAGAGUGAAAAAAGUGUGAACAGCCUCCUUUUUUUGUCUCAUUUGGCAUCUGGAAGGGAAUAGCAGGCUGUUUCUCAGUUUGGUAUUGUUAUGAGCUUGCAUAGAAAAGCCUGAGUAAUUUGAAUCCCAGCCUUGUGAUGUGAAGGUAGAUAAAUAGAAAUCUCUUGAGAAGGGAAGGGAAGGUUGAAAGAGUCAGAAACCCAGAGCUCCACUAAGACCCCUCAUUAUGGGUCUAGAAGUACACAGCAGCACCUACAUCCACAAGUAACAUUUUUAAGUUUCCCCUUUUGCAGGGCAAAAAUGACUUGCACAUUUUUGUUUCUCUUUGAACAUGCUGUUGCCACAGGAACUGUUUCAGUUUCCUGCCAAAAAUGAGACUUUUUCAAAUACAAAGCUACAUAAAAUGCUACCUAAAGCCUUACCCAGACACCCAAACCAGCCCCUGUUGUUCACCAACCUUAGCAGGCUUUGAGUAAUGAUGUUGUAGUUUAUGCUCCUGAUUAUGUGCUUCUUGGUGCUUCUCAACAGCAGCUAAGGACAGCUGACAAUUUUAUGGGUGAGAAAAUAUGGAUCACACUGCUGCUCUGUCUCCUUUGCCAUUCAUUUUUGUAGUUGUGACUUAGAAAAACAGCUCUGAAAUUUGGUUCUGUUUUUAGGUGCAUUCAGCAGCGUCAGCAUGUAGCAUGGAGCACACACUCACUCAGGUGGGACACGUAGGAAAGACCACACAAAUAUGGAUUCUAUAUCCAGCAGGCAAUCUCAGAGCAGCUCAUCUCAGCACUGUCACCUUAGGAAUACUGCUCUGCCCUCCUGCUUUUUCUUCCCAUGCUGUUCCCAUCUAGUUUUUUGGGUUUAGGGUGGUUUUCUGAAGGCUGAUUUUAAAGCCCUGGGACUUCCAAGGGUGUGUGAGUUGUCAGACCCAAAGGUGGCAGUUUCACCACCUGUGCAGCAUCCCAUCAAAACCUGAAGCUUUUUAAGUUGCUUUUCUCAACCACCAGUGGAAGACUGUGGUAUUGGCACACAUCACACAGUCCUGAAGUCACAUCUGCCUGAUGGCAGCUUAGCUGCAAGUGUUUAAAACAGCUCCUUUGGGCCUCAUACUGUGGCAUUCACAUUCUCUGAAAAAUCCCUUCACCCAGGGUUUUUCUCCUGGGAAGCUGAGAAGCCUCAGAGAAAAAGGGAAACAAUUCUUAUCUCAUUCUCUUCUCCUGUGCUGUGCUCACAUGUGGAAUGUGUUUGGAGAUUGUUCACCCACAGGUGAUUGUUCCAUUGCAUUCUGCUGGGAGUUUUUUUCACCCUUUGCCCAAUCAGGGCCAGGCUGUGUCAGGGCUCUGGAGAGAGUCAGGAGUUUUCAUUAUUGUCUUUUUAGCCUUCCGUCAGUAUGCUUUCUGUAUUCUUUAGUAUAGUUUAGUUUAGUAUUCUUUAAUAUACUAUAGUAUCAUAAAAUAAUAAAUUAGCCUUCUGAGAGCAUGGAGUCAGAUUCAUCAUUCCUCCCUGCAAAUACAACAGCAUUCCUUACAGAGCUCAGAACUGCACUGCAGCCUUUGGGCAGUGCAAUUCUGCAUCAGGUGCUGCACACGCCUCUGCUCCUGCCAAAAUAUUGCAGAGGCUUCUGAAGGUUGCAGGAUGAGGGUUUUCCUGGUUUAUGGUGGAGGCACAAAGUUCUUUCUGUAAAGAAGAAAAAAUACACGUACAGUCAUUUUGCAAAUAUUUCCAUGAGGUUUUUCCCACCCCCAGGACAUUGCAGAGACCGUGUGCACCUGUGUGGGUACGUGCCUGCUGGGGGCAGCAAGAGGAGAUGAGAGGAAUGACCCAGCAGAAGAUCAAAGGAUGGGAUGAAUCUCUCUUCCUGGAGGCUGCCCAUGCCAUGUGGUUCCUGUUGGAAUUUCAGCAAGGACUCCUGCAGUCCUCAAACCAGCUGCCCUGGCCCUGGCCACACUAACACUCCAUCAGUUUUCCAAUCACAAAUCCCUUAACUGGCCCAGAGAAGGGCCUAAGAGGUUUGGGAGUGAGAAAGCAAUUGUAUUCCAGAGCAAAGCCCAGGGUUAAACCACAAAGCAUGUUCUCUCUCUGAAUGGCUGCAGGGAAACCUAGAAGCUGUGUGCAGGAGUGCUGUAAAGUGGGAAAAGCAGCACACAGAUGUGAAGAGAUGGUGUCAGCCUCCUGUGAAAUUCCUCUGACCCUGGGCUAGUCCAGUCCCAUCCAUGCUGAGGUUUCAGGAGCUGGGACUGGCCAUGCUUUCUUCCCAUGAGAUACUUGUGUACUGAGCAAGCUAAGUGGGAGUAAUUACUGGAGUAAUUCUCUUUGCUGCACAGGCACUGGCACUAAGCAAAGCCUCUGACUCAGAAGUGUUUCUUGAUACUGAAAUCAGAAGAAAAUUAAUCUAUUCUUCUUCUGCAGCAUUAUGUGUAUUUCCAUUUUGAUGAAAUUUCAUUCAUCUAACAUGAAAAAGAAGAGGUGCCUCUGCAUGGCCUGUCACCCUGUUUUGCACCCUGUUCCUCAGUCAGGAGUCCCAAGCAGUGAUGCAGGAGCACCCCACUGGAACUCAGCAGUUCUGAGUGCAGGAGGACAGCACAUGCAGUGCUCCACCCGUGGGAGCCAUGGACAGAGGCCAGGAGCUCUCUGCUCCUGCUGCAGGGCCAGCACUGCUGCUCCAGUGCCUGACUGAUCUCCUUGGGCUGGGGAGAGUCCCAGGAUGAGCCUGCCUCAGCUCCCAGGAGAUGUGGAUUUGCACCCAGAGCCCAGGGCCAGCAGGAGGGCUGUGGGACCCUCUCAGGGACCCACCCCAGCAGCUGCUCUGGGGCAAAACUGCAAGGGCAGCUUCAAACUGCUGGAACUCAGCAAAGGCAUACCAAGCACCUCCUGGCCAAGUGGGAGGACUGAUGGGACUGAAACCCUCCAGGGUUGUAGGGCCUUGCACCCACAUCAAAUCUGUGUUUUGAACAAAGAGUACUUCUCUCUAAGGUGCCAAGUUUCAGGCCAAAACAGUUUGAAAUGCUUUGAAACUGCUUCUGAGAACUGAACUCUAACCAAAAUCAUCCCUCCCCCCAGGUGCUAGCACCAGGCUAUCUGUUCAUCAUUUGUUAUUGACCAUUCCAUAGUUUUUAGCAGCUACUCAAAGACUGACAGCUUGGUUCCACCCUGGUCUGCACCCAGGAGAAGGGAAGUAACACAUUUAGUACAAA